rnacentral:rRNA from 1 species
AUUGAACGCUGGCGGCAGGCCUAACACAUGCAAGUCGAACGAGUGGCGGACGGGUGAGGAAUGUCUGGGAACCUGCCCGAUGGAGGGGGAUACCUACUGGAAACGGUAGCUAAUACCGCAUACCAUCGGGUGUGCCCAGAUUGGGUUAGCUAGUCGGUGGGGUAACGGCUCACCUAGGCGACGAUCCCUAGCUGGUCUGAGAGGAUGACCAGCCACACGGGAACUGAGACACGGUCCAGACUCCUACGGGAGGCAGCAGUGGGGAAUAUUGCACAAUGGGCGAAAGCCUGAUGCAGCCAUGCCGCGUGUAUGAAGAAGGCCUUCGGGUUGUAAAGUACUUUCAGCGGGGAGGCGUUACUCGCAGAAGAAGCACCGGCUAACUCCGUGCCAGCAGCCGCGGUAAUAC